rnacentral:rRNA from 1 species
CGGGCGUGGAUUAGGCAUGCAAGUCGAACGGUAUAAACCUUUCGGGGUUUAGAGAGUGGCGGAACGGGUGAGUAACACGUAGGUAAUACUACCCUCAAAACGGGGACAACCCAGGGAAACUUGGGCUAAUACCGGAUGCGUGCAAACAAUGUUUUGGUCUGUUGUAAUUAUUCACGGAAGUGGAUAGUUAUGAGAGUUUCAGAGCAUAAUUUGCAUAAAAGGUGGCGUAAGCUGCCGUUUGAGGAUGAGCCUGCGUCCUAUUAGUUAGUUGGUGAGGUAAUGGCUUACCAAGGCGAUGAUAGGUAGGCGGCCUUAACGGGUGGUCGCCCACACUGGGAUUGAGAUACGGCCCAGACUCCUACGGGAGGCAGCAGUCGAGAAUAGUCUACAAUGGACGAAAGUCUGAUAGUGCGACGCCGCGUGAACGAAGAAUCCUUUCGGGGUGUAAAGUUCUUUUCUAUGUGAGCAGUUCCUUUUAUAUGAAGAGUAUAGAAGGUGGGAUUUAAGCAUAGGAAUAAGCAACGGCUAACUCCGUG